rnacentral:rRNA from 1 species
UGGGGAAUAUUGGACAAUGGGCGAAAGCCUGAUCCAGCCAUGCCGCGUGUGUGAAGAAGGUCUUCGGAUUGUAAAGCACUUUAAGUUGGGAGGAAGGGCAGUAAGCGAAUACCUUGCUGUUUUGACGUUACCGACAGAAUAAGCACCGGCUAACUCUGUGCCAGCAGCCGCGGUAAUACAGAGGGUGCAAGCGUUAAUCGGAAUUACUGGGCGUAAAGCGCGCGUAGGUGGUUCGUUAAGUUGAAUGUGAAAGCCCCGGGCUCAACCUGGGAACUGCAUCCAAAACUGGCGAGCUAGAGUAGGGCAGAGGGUGGUGGAAUUUCCUGUGUAGCGGUGAAAUGCGUAGAUAUAGGAAGGAACACCAGUGGCGAAGGCGACCACCUGGGCUCAUACUGACACUGAAGUGCGAAAGCGUGGGGGGCAAACAGG